AACGCGGGGCGCAGGCCUAACACCUGCAUGUAGAGCCGUCGCACAGAGAGCUUGCUCUUGGGUGACGAGCGGCGGACGGGUGAGUAAUGUCUGGGAAACUGCCUGAUGGAGGGGGAUAACUACUGGAAACGGUAGCUAAUACCGCAUAACGUCGCAAGACCAAAGAGGGGGACCUUCGGGCCUCUUGCCAUCAGAUGUGCCCAGAUGGGAUUAGCUAGUAGGUGGGGUAACGGCUCACCUAGGCGACGAUCCCUAGCUGGUCUGAGAGGAUGACCAGCCACACUGGAACUGAGACACGGUCCAGACUCCUACGGGAGGCAGCAGUGGGGAAUAUUGCACAAUGGGCGCAAGCCUGAUGCAGCCAUGCCGCGUGUAUGAAGAAGGCCUUCGGGUUGUAAAGUACUUUCAGCGGGGAGGAAGGUGUUGAGGUUAAUAACCUCAGCAAUUGACGUUACCCGCAGAAGAAGCACCGGCUAACUCCGUGCCAGCAGCCGCGGUAAUACGGAGGGUGCAAGCGUUAAUCGGAAUUACUGGGCGUAAAGCGCACGCAGGCGGUCUGUCAAGUCGGAUGUGAAAUCCCCGGGCUCAACCUGGGAACUGCAUUCGAAACUGGCAGGCUAGAGUCUUGUAGAGGGGGGUAGAAUUCCAGGUGUAGCGGUGAAAUGCGUAGAGAUCUGGAGGAAUACCGGUGGCGAAGGCGGCCCCCUGGACAAAGACUGACGCUCAGGUGCGAAAGCGUGGGGAGCAAACAGGAUUAGAUACCCUGGUAGUCCACGCCGUAAACGAUGUCAGAUUUGGAGACGUUGUGCCCUUGAGGAGUGGCUUCCGGAGCUAACGCCGUUAAAAUCGAACCCCGGCCUGGGGAGUACGGCCGCAAGGUUAAAACUCAAAUGAAUUGACGGGGGCCCGCACAAGCGGUGGAGCAUGUGGUUUAAUUCGAUGCAACGCGAAGAACCUUACCUACUCUUGACAUCCAGAGAACUUUCCAGAGAUGGAUUGGUGCCUUCGGGAACUCUGAGACAGGUGCUGCAUGGCUGUCGUCAGCUCGUGUUGUGAAAUGUUGGGUUAAGUCCCGCAACGAGCGCAACCCUUAUCCUUUGUUGCCAGCGGUCCGGCCGGGAACUCAAAGGAGACUGCCAGUGAUAAACUGGAGGAAGGUGGGGAUGACGUCAAGUCAUCAUGGCCCUUACGAGUAGGGCUACACACGUGCUACAAUGGCGCAUACAAAGAGAAGCGACCUCGCGAGAGCAAGCGGACCUCAUAAAGUGCGUCGUAGUCCGGAUUGGAGUCUGCAACUCGACUCCAUGAAGUCGGAAUCGCUAGUAAUCGUAGAUCAGAAUGCUACGGUGAAUACGUUCCCGGGCCUUGUACACACCGCCCGUCACACCAUGGGAGUGGGUUGCAAAAGAAGUAGGUAGCUUAACCUUCGGGAGGGCGCUUACCACUUUGUGAUUCAUGACUGGGGUGAAGUCGUAAAAAGGUAACCAA
rnacentral:rRNA from 1 species